AACGUCGAGCUCCUCACUGCCCUGCAGAUGAGUCGGAUGUAUCUCCGUCUCUGCUCAAGGCUCUAGAGGCGGAUAGUGAAUCGCCCCCCUGGCCUUCACUGCACGUCAACAUGGACAACAAGGGAGAGGAGAAGCAGCUGUCCGAAAAGUCUCUUCACCCUUCUAACUCCCCGGCGAUGCUCCCUGACCGUCUUAAGUGUAACAUCCUCAAAGCCCAGAUGGAGGCGGCCUUCAGGAAGGAAGCUCCAAGUUCCUCGCCGAGAGCAAAAAACUCAAACGAGACCCUUAAUGACAGGUAUCAAAGCUCAUCCCAAGACUCCGCUGCAUCCAGUCUGACCGCAGAGAAGACGCCACAUCGGCAAGACCUGGACCCGACGCCGGAGAGGCUUCAUCGCAAAGACAAAACAAGCACCGACCGCAGGAAACGACUGGUCAGACAGUUCAGCUUUAACCAUGAAGAUGAAGAUAAUCUCCCAGAAGCACUUGCAGCAAUCUCCUCCCAGAGUGCAGCAGGGUCAGGGUCCAGCGGCUCAUUGGACAAACAGAUACAGCCGUCCAUUUACCCACAGGUGGAUAAAAUGCCAGCAUUGGAGCUGAGUAGUCCAUGCUGUCCCUCUCCUUCGCCUUCUCCCCAUCCCUCCCCUUCUUACUACCAUAGCUCCAUUCCUCGACUGGCCCCUUACCCCGCUGCCCAUAAUGACAGCGGAGAGGAAAUGAGGGUGGACAGAGAGAAGAUACUAAGAGCCCUCCUGAUGACGGAGCUCUGAGACCUUGACCCUUCACCCCUGUGACGUCAUCAUCAGGCGCAUCAGACCUGGCGUUUGGUGAGGAAA
ensembl:lncRNA